AAUAUGGCAGAUUAGUGCAUUAAUUUUAAACAUUAAAAAUAAAUUUUUAUAAAUUUUA
rnacentral:tRNA from 1 species